rnacentral:lncRNA from 12 species
AUUCCAUGCAUGAGGACCACCUCUGUUGCUCACAGUGGCCAACUAAUCCAGUUGGAGAUGAUUCAGGCUUUGCAUGGUCAACAUGCAAACUUGAUGAAAGGAACUGGUUGAUGUGCUGAAGCUGACAAAACAAAAAUACAAGAUCAAAGCCCUGCCCACCGGUGGCUUACUAUCCAAUUAGAGAAAAAUCACAAAGCAAAAUUGUGCCUAAUCAACACAAUGGAAGUGGACAAUGAACAUAACGGUUCUAAGAAGAACUACAAAAAGCUUAUUAUAUGAGAGUUUCCAAUGUUUGAAUAGACAGUUUAGAAGAUGCUGCAUCACUCAACACUUCUGUCUGAGGGGAAGAUUGAGGGAACCCAGAAUUCCACAAGAGCUUGUCUACCAGCGUUCAGAUCUCAGGAGUAUGGCCGAGUGCAAAGCUGCAUUCAUGGAGACAAAAGUUCUUACCCUGCAGGAUAAGAGACUUUGCUCCUUCAGACCCACCACAUGCAUCCUAGGGAAUCUAAAGUGUCAUUUCCUCUCUGGAAGAAAGGAAGCACAAAACAUGCUAGGCUUCAUGACUUCAAUCAAUUAAUAUUGACAUAGUAAGAUCUGGAAACUUCUGAUCUGAUAAUUUUUCAUUCGUUGAGGAAAGGUUUUAAGGGCAGGUGAAGCCCAUAUGUAUAGUAGCCAUCUUGUAACCAUGGCUGCAAACAACAAGGACGAGAGGCUAGGAGAAGCCUGGACCUUGAGGAAAUUCUUGAGGACUGCACCAGCCCAUGUUUGGGUACUCUGGCUCUCUUUGAGACCCUGUUUGUGCCUCGUGCCCUGUGCACAUGCCUUGCAAGCAAUGGCACCACGAGUCUGACUUCCAGAUUGCAACAGUUAUCAUUGCUACUGAGAUAGCUGCAAUUCGUCAUUGAGCUUUCAGAAGAUUUUAUGCUAAAGAUCAUUGGGAUGAAUUUAUGAUAAACUUUCACAUCCAGAAAGACAAGCCCAAGACAGUAUAUGCUUUUGACAUAAAGGACUUGGGAGAUAAAGCUGUGUACUGCCAUUGUUGGAGGUCCAAAAAAGCUCCCAUUCUGCCAUGGAUCUCACACAAAACACAAUGAAGAGACUGGAGACAAUGUGGGACCUCUACUCAUUAAGAAAAAAGGAAACUUAAGUGUACAGUUUUCAUGCUGCAAACCAACUUGUCAUGGUGUUACCUGAAUGCUUAAUUAGAAUGACUAUAGCUUCUGUCCAAUUUACCUCCUCUGGGUUCUAGAUGUAGUAUAUUACAAACUACAGCUUUUAUAUUCAUGGCAUUUGUCUUAAUUUUGAACCAUCAUGGUGCACAUUUGUUUAAACAAACAAAAAAACACAGGGAGCAUAAAAUGACAAAAAUGCUAAUCAGGCUAUCCACCAAUGGUGAAUUUGCCCUGAAUAUCCUGGAAUCAAAUAUAACAGUAGACAAUAUCUUAGGAUAAAGUGGACAUUUCUGGUUUGCCCAAUUGCCUAUAGCCAGAUUUUUCAAACUUUGAUUUUGUGUAUGUUACUGACUUCCUCUAGUAAACGCUUUGCAAUUAUACUCUUUUUCUUUCAAAAAUGUGUAAAGAUGUGUUUUUUAAUUCAUUUCAAAUCAUCUUUUUAAUAGUGAAAAGUUUGACAAAAUCUAUAUUGGCUAAUGAAUGAGUUAUUUAAUCUCUUCAAAGUUUUUAAUUGUGGUAAGGAAAACCCCAUAUAACAUAAAAUUGACCAUCUUAAUCUUUUCUAAGUGUACAGCUCAAUCAUUUAAAGUAUACAUUGCAAAUAUUUUCUCCCAUUCCAUAGGUUGCUUUUUCAAUUGGUUGAUUGUGUCCUUUGAUGUAUGAAGUUUUUAAAUUUGAUAUAGUGUUAAAUUUUUCCUUUUGGUGCUUUUGAUAUUCUAUCCAAGAAAUCUUUGCCAAAUCCAAUGUCCUGAAGCGUUAUUCCUAUGUUUUCUUCCAAGAGUUUGAUAGUUUGGGUCUUAGGUUAAGGUUUUUGAUCCAUUUGAUUAAAUUUUGUAAGAUAAGGCUCCACUUUAUUCUUUUUCAUGUAGAUAUUGCAAUAUUCUUUUCUUUCUCUCUCUCUACCCCCACCCCAAGGCAUUUACAUGAAAAGGGUAUUUUGAUUUUUAAAACAUUCAUCGCCUCUAUUACUUCGUAUUUCUCUUCUAAUGCUUGCAUCUAUUGUUUAGCAUAUUACAGUCAGCCUCAAUGAACAUUAAUGUGAUACAGUAAUCAAAGACUAGCAUAUUAGGUGGACAAUAACAGAAGAAGCAGAUUCUUCUCUGUUGCUGAUAAUUUAAAGAGAAAAAAAGCUAUAAAUUUUGACUUAAAGAAGAAAGUGUUCCUAAGCAAUGUUGUUGUUGUUACUGUGGCUGCCCUUUAACAGAUUGCCUCAUGAGAGGCUCAGUACUUAGAGAAAGUUAUUUAUCAUUUAUUUCUCAAAGGAAGAACAGGAAGAGAGAAGACAUUCUAUGUUUGAUUUAUAAAAUAUAAAUACUGGUAGUCUAAUAUUGCAUUGUACAUAUAAAAGAAUGAUAACUCUUUUCCAAGAGAGUCCUUAUAUAAUUGCAAGACCUGUUAUGGGAUCUGAAUGUAUUACCAGCUUGUUCUUUUCUGUCGUACGAAUCUGCCACCAGGUAAAAAUCCUCUCAGGUUGCACAAAGGUAUUGUAAGUUAAUUAUAAGUAAAAACCCUCAAAAUCUUGAUAUUACUACUUUUAAAACAUCAGUUAUUGUUUCAGAGAUAUCAAGAAACAACCAUUAUUGAGACUUUGUUCUAUGUGAAAUCAAAUUCUCUCCAGGGUACUUUAUGUGACUUAUUAAAAUAGUCUGUUGGUAGGCAAAAUUCUUCUCACUGUGACCAGAAGACUUCAAAAUUGGUGGCAAAGGAAUUUGGAUAGUCUCAGAGAAAAAGAAUCACUGAGUUGGGUAUUUGAAGUUAGGUUUAAUGGUCUAAUUUAAUGUGAAAAUAUAGGUGCAAGCUCAGACAUAUUUUGAUACAAGUAUCUGGAAACUAGAUACUGAACUAAACAAUUUACAGACCUUGAAAUAACUAGAAUAUUGCUCUCGAAAUCAUGUUAAGAAGUAAAUGUAAAAUUGAUCACAUUGGAAUAAAAAUAAUCAUGAUGAAAACA